rnacentral:misc_RNA from 1 species
GAUGAAGAACGCAGCGAAAUGCGAUAAGUAAUGUGAAUUGCAGAAUUCAGUGAAUCAUCGAAUCUUUGAACGCACAUUGCGCCCACCAGUAUUCUGGCGGGCAUGCCUGUUCGAGCGUCAUUUCAACCCUCAAGACCCCUUCGGGGGACUUGGUGUUGGGGACCGGCACAGGGGCCUGCCUGCUUGUCUUGCAGCGCCCUCGCCGCCCCCGAAAUGAAUUGGCGGCCUCGUCGCGGCCUCCCCUGCGUAGUAGCACAAACCUCGCAACGGGAACGUGACGGCGGCCACUGCCGUAAAACAACCCAAUUUUAUUAGAGUUGACCUCGAAUCAGGUAGGAAUACCCGCUGAACUUAAGCAUAUCAAUAAGCGGAGGA